AGAUGAGGGCGGUCUGGCUGUGACAUAUGUCACCCCAUUGAUCGCCAGGGUUGAUUAGGCUGAUCUGGCAGGUGAGGAGGGUGUCUCCUUCCUCCCUCAUCGCUCCAUGGCUCCAUGUGUGUCCCUCCCGAAGCUGUGAGCUAGGUCGAAGAGGAAGACUUUCCCUGAAUAGAGGAGGACCGGUCUUCAGUCAAGGUCUUCAGUCAAGUAGCUGCUCUCCCCUGCUAGAACCUCCAAACAAGCUCAAGACCCAUAAUAUAUAUUUUAUAAAUAAAAUAUUUUUCAGAAAGUAUUUUUUUCAAAAUCUACUUUAAUGG
rnacentral:snRNA from 1 species